UUUCCGUAGGUGAACCUGCGGAAGGAUCAUUAAAGAGUAAGGGUCUUCUAGGCCCGACCUCCCAACCCUUUGUUUACCAAACCAUUGUUGCUUCGACGGGCCCGUCCCAGGACCGCCGGAGGACCGUCAAACGUCCUCUGGCCCGCGCCCGUCGAUGGCCCCUAUCAUUAAACUCUGAACCAAACGUGUCCUGUCUGAGUGAUUAUUAUCAAAAAUUAAAGCAAAACUUUCAACAACGGAUCUCUUGGUUCUG
rnacentral:misc_RNA from 1 species